rnacentral:rRNA from 1 species
GUGGGGAAUAUUGGACAAUGGGCGAAAGCCUGAUCCAGCCAUGCCGCGUGUGUGAAGAAGGUCUUCGGAUUGUAAAGCACUUUAAGUUGGGAGGAAGGGCAGUAAGUUAAUACCUUGCUGUUUUGACGUUACCGACAGAAUAAGCACCGGCUAACUUCGUGCCAGCAGCCGCGGUAAUACGAAGGGUGCAAGCGUUAAUCGGAAUUACUGGGCGUAAAGCGCGCGUAAGUGGUUUUGUAAGUUGGAGGUGAAAUCCCCGGGCUCAACCUGGGAACUGACGCCAAAACUUCAUGACUAGAGUACGGUAGAGGGUAGUGGAAUUUCCUGUGUAGCGGUGAAAUGCGUAGAUAUAGGAAGGAACACCAGUGGCGAAGGCGACUACCUGGACUGAUACUGACACUGAGGUGCGAAAGCGUGGGGAGCAAACAGGAUUAGAAAACCGGGUAGUCC